UACGGAGGGGGCUAGCGUUGCUCGGAAUUACUGGGCGUAAAGGGCGCGUAGGCGGCCUUGUAAGUCAGGCGUUAAAGGCCCGGGCUCAACCCGGGAGCUGCGCUUGAGACUGCAGGGCUCGAGUUCGGGAGAGGGCAGUGGAAUUCCCAGUGUAGAGGUGAAAUUCGUAGAUAUUGGGAAGAACACCAGUGGCGAAGGCGGCUGCCUGGACCGAUACUGACGCUAAGGCGCGAAAGCGUGGGGAGCAAACAGG
rnacentral:rRNA from 1 species